AGUCGAGCGAGAACCGGUCCUUCGGGACCGGGGAAAGCGGCGAACGGGUGAGUAACACGUGAGUAAUCUGCCCUCGACAUCGGGAUAGCCCGGGGAAACCCGGAUUAAUACCGAAUGGCCCAGCAGCUCUUCGGGGCGGCUGGAAAAGGUAGCUUCGGCCUCCGGUCGAGGAGGAGCUCGCGGCGGAUUAGCUUGUUGGUGGGGUAAUGGCCCACCAAGGCGACGAUCCGUAGCUGGUCUGAGAGGACGAUCAGCCACACUGGGACUGAGACACGGCCCAGACUCCUACGGGAGGCAGCAGUGGGGAAUCUUGCGCAAUGGGCGAAAGCCUGACGCAGCGACGCCGCGUGCGGGAAGAAGGCCUUCGGGUUGUAAACCGCUUUCAGGAGGGACGAAGCUACUCGGGUUAAUAGCCCAGAGGGUGACGGUACCUCCAGAAGAAGCCCCGGCUAACUACGUGCCAGCAGCCGCGGUAAUACGUAGGGGGCAAGCGUUGUCCGGAUUUAUUGGGCGUAAAGAGCGUGUAGGCGGCUUGGCAAGUCCGCUGUGAAAACUCGAGGCUCAACCUCGAGACGUCGGUGGAAACUGCCUGGCUAGAGUCCGGAAGAGGAGAGUGGAAUUCCUGGUGUAGCGGUGAAAUGCGCAGAUAUCAGGAAGAACACCCGUGGCUAAGGCGGCUCUCUAGUACGGUACUGACGCUGAGACGCGAAAGCGUGGGGAGCGAACAAGAUUAGAUACCCUGGUAGUCCACGCCGUAAACGAUGGGUGCUAGGUGUGGGGCGGUGUCAACUCCGUCCGUGCCGAAACUAACGCAUUAAGCACCCCGCCUGGGGAGUACGGCCGCAAGGCUAAAACUCAAAGGAAUUGAC
rnacentral:rRNA from 1 species